CAUGUCAUCCCUGCACGGCAGUUGUGGCUGCUGUGUCACGUGUGUGUCAGUAGACGGCAGAGAGGAGGGAAGCUAUGUCUGUGCUCAGUGUUCAGACCUGUGAACAUCUGAAUGAUUAGUAGUAGCCCUAA